UACAGAGGGUGCGAGCGUUAAUCGGAAUUACUGGGCGUAAAGCGAGUGUAGGUGGCUCAUUAAGUCACAUGUGAAAUCCCCGGGCUUAACCUGGGAACUGCAUGUGAUACUGGUGGUGCUAGAAUAUGUGAGAGGGAAGUAGAAUUCCAGGUGUAGCGGUGAAAUGCGUAGAGAUCUGGAGGAAUACCGAUGGCGAAGGC
rnacentral:rRNA from 1 species